GUUUCAGACCCAACAGGAACUCCACAGGACUCCAGUCAUCCAGCCUUCACAGACCAUACACACAUAGCUGGUCCAGUCACUGAACAGUACAACCCAUCUGGUCAGGGUCCUGAAGGUGCAGAAAAUGUGGAACUGGAGGAUACCUGCUGACUUCCACAUCAAGCCGCGAGUUCGAUUCCUGCGCUACCGAUUCCAAUGUACCGACCAAUCAGCAUGGCCCAGGAAAUCAGACCCCUCCCAAUAGGUGUAGGCCCCGCCCUCUGUGGACCAGUGGCUCGUUGGUGAUUUUGUAUUUAAGUUUUGUUCAUAGAUGUUCAUGUUGCGUUAGAAAGAGAUAAGAGUUUGGUACCUAAUGACGUCAAACAGGAUGUGACAUCAUCUUCAACGUCAGCAA